AUGUUGGACAAACUGUCUAUUCUGCUGAUAGCGCUCUGUCUGCCCUGUUUGAAUGGCCAGGCUAUGGAGUCCAUUCCCUCCACUUCAGUUUUGAAAAAGCCUCAAGAAGCCCUCAGUCUUUCCUGCAGGGGAAGUGGAUUUGAUUUCAGUCAGUAUGGAAUGCACUGGAUCAGACAGCCUUCAGGAAAAGCACUGGAAUGGAUGGGGCUUAUUUACUAUGAUGCAAGUAAAACAGUGUAUGCAAGCAGUGUGCAAGGACGGAUAGAAAUCACCAGAGACAAUAGCAACAGCAUGGUAUAUCUGACACUGUCCAACCUAAAGCCAGAUGACUCUGCUCUGUAUUACUGUGCCAGAUCCACACUGUUUAAUAGAGUGAUGGAACUAGAAGCAGAUGCCAUGGGACAUGAGCUACUUUUUGUAGAUGAGGCCGAUUUUAACCUCAGUAAAACCAGGAGAUGUGGCAGGAACAUUAUUGGACACCGUGCCAUCAUCAAUGUCCCAGGACAAUGUGGUGUGCAGCUAUAA